rnacentral:lncRNA from 1 species
CAUCAUACAAUUUUAUCCCCAAACAAAGUGAAAUCUUUUUUCUUCUUUUUUAACUUGGUAAAUAUAAAAAUGUUUAAACAACCGUUGUACUCUAAAACGGUUGUUUCACAAAGUAUCAGAGUAGGAGGUCCUGACUUCGAGUCACGCCAGGCUCCUAGCAUAUUAUAAAUAAGCUCAAGUCAUGAGCUGACUAAAAAAAGUCUCGAGCCUAUACAUGAGGGAGAGUGUUAAAUAUAAAAAUAUUUAAAUACCGUUCUCUAACGGUUUAAGUUUUUAGAAUACAACGGUUGUUUCACGUAACUUUUUUUUAAGUUUUUUUUUUUUAAAUUUAUUUUUUUGUUUAGACAACCUUCACCAC